rnacentral:rRNA from 1 species
AUGCAGAUCUUCGUCAAGACCCUCACGGGGAAGACCAUCACCCUCGAGGUUGAGAGCAGCGAUACCAUCGACAAUGUCAAGGCCAAGAUCCAGGACAAGGAGGGUGAGUGUCUUCUUCUCAGACGUUCUUCUUUCCCUUUUCUUUCAUUUCUGCCGGCCGCCGUGGCUAAUCUCGGUUUUGUUCCGGCAGGGAUCCCGCCGGACCAGCAGCGGCUGAUCUUCGCCGGAAAGCAGUUGGAGGACGGCCGCACCCUUGCCGACUACAACAUCCAGAAGGAGUCCACCCUCCAUCUCGUCCUCAGGCUCCGUGGAGGCAUCAUCGAGCCGUCCCUGCAGGCUCUUGCCCGCAAGUACAACCAGGAGAAGAUGAUCUGCCGCAAAUGCUACGCGCGCCUGCAUCCAAGGGCUGUCAACUGCCGCAAGAAGAAGUGUGGCCACAGCAACCAGCUGAGGCCCAAGAAGAAGAUCAAGAACUAG